GAGACAGGUUGGUCUCUAUCUGCCGUAGGCGUUUGUUGCUUGAGAAGAGUCUUUCCUAGUACGAGAGGACCGGAAAGAACAAACCUCUGGUGUAUCGGCUGUUCCACCAGGAGCACUGUCGAGUAGCUAAGUUGGGAACGGAUAACCGCUGAAAGCAUCUAAGCGGGAAGCCAACUUCAAGAUAAGGCAACUCCGAUGCGUGACA
rnacentral:rRNA from 1 species